rnacentral:rRNA from 1 species
UACAGAGGGUGCAAGCGUUAAUCGGAAUCACUGGGCUUAAAGCGUUCGUAGGCGGGCUUGCAGGCGCGUUGUGAAAGCCCCCGGCUCAACCGGGGAACUGCUUCGCGAACCGCAAGUCUUGAGUCAAGUAGGGGCGGUCGGAACGAUAGGUGGAGAGGUGAAAUGCGUAGAUAUCUAUCGGAACGCCAAAGGUGAAGGCAGGCCGCUGGGCUUGUACUGACGCUGAGGAACGAAAGCGUGGGGAGCAAACGGG